GGGGAAUUUUCCGCAAUGGGCGAAAGCCUGACGGAGCAAUACCGCGUGAGGGAGGAAGGCUCUUGGGUCGUAAACCUCUUUUCUCAGGGAAGAAAAAAAUGACGGUACCUGAGGAAUAAGCAUCGGCUAACUCCGUGCCAGCAGCCGCGGUAAUACGGAGGAUGCAAGCGUUAUCCGGAAUGAUUGGGCGUAAAGCGUCCGCAGGUGGCAAUGAAAGUCUGCUGUUAAAGAGUCUAGCUCAACUAGAUACAAGCAGUGGAAACUACAUAGCUAGAGUACGUUCGGGGCAGAGGGAAUUCCUGGUGUAGCGGUGAAAUGCGUAGAGAUCAGGAAGAACACCAGUGGCGAAGGCGCUCUGCUAGGCCGUAACUGACACUGAGGGACGAAAGCUAGGGGAGCGAAUGGGAUUAGAUACCCCAGUAGUC
rnacentral:rRNA from 1 species